rnacentral:rRNA from 1 species
GACGAACGCUGGCGGCGUGCCUAAUACAUGCAAGUCGAGCGGACGUUUUUGAAGCUUGCUUCAAAAACGUUAGCGGCGGACGGGUGAGUAACACGUGGGCAACCUACCUUAUCGACUGGGAUAACUCCGGGAAACCGGGGCUAAUACCGGAUAACAUCUAGCACCUCCUGGUGCCGGAUUAAAAGAGGGCUACUUGCUCUCACGAUGAGAUGGGCCCGCGGCGCAUUAGCUAGUUGGAGAGGUAACGGCUCCCCAAGGCGACGAUGGGGAGCCGACCUGAGAGGGUGAUCGGCCACACUGGGACUGAGACACGGACCAGAGUCCUACGGGAGGCAGCAGUAGGGAAUCUUCCGCAAUGGACGAAAGUCUGACGUAGCAACGCCGCGUGAGUGAUGAAGGGUUUCGGCUCGUAAAGCUCUGUUAUGAGGGAAGAACACGUACCGUUCGAAUAGGGCGGUACCUUGACGGUACCUCAUCAGAAAGCCACGGCUAACUACGUGCCAGCCGCCGCCGUAA